UGGGAGGGGAGAGUGCUGGUUCAGCCGGCAGAGCGCAGUGGAAAGAAAAUAUAAGCAGCAAAAAAUAGGAAUUUCAGUUCAUUCAAAUGGAACUUGCUCAGAACACUUUCUGUUGUCUUUAAAUGAUGCACUUAAUUACUAAAAGGAGAAAAUGUCUUUGCAUAAUGUAGGAGCUGGAUUUAAACAGUCAAGCUGUUUCAUACACCGUGAAUGGAAAGCAGUUGGACAGCCACACAGAAGAUGAAAUCUCAUUUUGCCUAAUUGCAAGCCAGCUUUAAACAUGGCGAGUUCAAAAGUUCAGCUUCGACAUUACUGAAUGUAUGUUGAGUAUUAAGGUUGUUUCACAAUUAAAACAGAGAGAAGCGGCAUGGCAGAAACAACAAAAGGUACAGGAUAAAAUUCUGCAGUGAACUCCUGUUCACCAAGUCACCCCCUAGUUAGUGCUUUUAGAAAAUUAUACAGUCGGUGACGAGUUCUGCUCUUUUUGUGGAUAAAAAUGUAAGGCCAAUGUCAUGGCUGUUGGGAAUAUUUAAUGGAGUAAAGGAAGCAGUCUCCAUCUCUACUUGAUGGAAAUGCACCCAUUACCUCAGCCAAUUCUGAUUUAGAAAGAAUGGAAAAUUGAACUAAUCAGCUUUUUAUGUUAUAUGCAGACUUAAAAAAAAUCCUUGCCACUGAUUACCUACAGCUGAAUAUUGUUAAUGCCAAGAAGAUGCGACUACAUAAGAUAAUUUGAAUUUCUUAAUACUGUCCAGCUCCUAUAAAUCUAAUGGUGGUGUGUCUUGCAAUGACAUGGAUGGCCUGAAAGUGGCUUGAUUGGCAGAUGCUGGCAGGAAGACAAUAGUUAUGGUUGGCUGGUCUGCAAUAUGGAACAAACUGAAAGCUAGCAGAAUUUCAGCAAAGAUCAAAGAAGUUACUUUGAAAUGGCUAUACUAUGGCAUCUUAUACUAACACUGUCUCUCUGUUAUUUAGUCAGUUAGCUUUUUGGAGGAGGUUGCAAUACACAUGUGUGAUGCACCUGUUGCUUUGGAGUUUUUAGAAUCUUGUUUUUCAGGAAAUUGGAAACCAACCAAUCCCCCUUUCUCUGAUAUAGCAUGUUUGCAUUCUAUCUUUCUGGAUUUUCUCCAACAUUUAUUACAUCACGAUCCAAUAAUCUCUUUAGACAGAGCUGUGCAUCAAAUACUUGUGUAACACAGAAACCUCUCAAAUAUACACGGUAUAUUUGAGAAUAGGCAGCAGCCUAUGUAAAACUCAAAUUUGGCUAUCUUCAGGGAUUGGCUAAAGCUCAUGCUUUUUGCGUGAAGUGGAAUAAUGUUGUUUCUUAUCCUGAAAAUGAAUUUGAUUUUAUGCAGCCUCAUUUUUAUUGG